rnacentral:rRNA from 1 species
GGAUUAGAUACCCUGGUAGUCCACGCCGUAAACGAUGAGUGCUAGUUGUCGGGGGUCUUAGACUUUCGGUGACGCAGCUAACGCAUUAAGCACUCCGCCUGGGGAGUACGGUCGCAAGAUUAAAACUCAAAGGAAUUGACGGGGGCCUGCACAAGCGGUGGAGCAUGUGGUUUAAUUCGAAGCAACGCGCAGAACCUUACCAGCCCUUGACAUCCUGGUCGCGGGGACGAGAGAUCGACCCUUUCAGUUCGGCUGGACCAGUGACAGGUGCUGCAUGGCUGUCGUCAGCUCGUGCCG